rnacentral:rRNA from 1 species
UACAGAGGGUGCGAGCGUUUGUUCGGAAUUAUUGGGCGUAAAGCGCGUGUAGGCGGCUUUGCAAGUCGGGUGUGAAAGCCCUCAGCUUAACUGAGGAAGUGCGCCCGAAACUGCAGAGCUUGAGUACCGGAGAGGAUGGUGGAAUUCCCCAAGUAGAGGUGAAAUUCGUAGAUAUGGGGAGGAACACCGGUGGCGAAGGCGACCAUCUGGACGGAUACUGACGCUGAGACGCGAAAGCGUGGGUAGCAAACAGG